rnacentral:rRNA from 1 species
GGAUUGUAGUCUGCAACUCGACUACAUGAAGCUGGAAUCGCUAGUAAUCGUAGAUCAGCAUGCUACGGUGAAUACGUUCCCGGGUCUUGUACACACCGCCCGUCACACCACGAGAGUUUGUAACACCCGAAGCCGGUGGAGUAACCUUUUAGGAGCUAGCCGUCGAAGGUGGGACAAAUGAUUGGGGUGAAGUCGUAACAAGGUAGCCGUAUCGGAAGGUGCGGCUGGAUCACCUCCUUUCUAAGGA